rnacentral:rRNA from 1 species
UACGGAAGGGGCUCGCGUUGUUCGGAAUUACUCGGCGUAAAGCGUACGAACGCGGAUCAGUCAGUCAGGGGUGAAAUCCCGGGGCUCAACCCCGGAACUGCCUUUGAUACUGCUGGUCUGGAGGUCGAGAGAGGUGAGUGGAAUUCCGAGUGUAGAGGUGAAAUUCGUAGAUAUUCGGAGGAACACCAGUGGCGAAGGCGGCUCACCGGCUCGAUUGUGACGCUGAGUUGCGAAAGCGUGGGGAGCAAACAGG